GUUGAUAUGUCCGAGUGGUUAAGGAGACAGACUUGAAAUCUAUUUGGCUUUGUCCCCGCAGGUUCGAACCCUGUUGUGAGAUA